rnacentral:tRNA from 1 species
GGUGAGAUGGCCGAGUGGUUUAAGGCGCAUGCCUGGAAAGUGUGUAUAUGGAAACGUAUCAGGGGUUCGAAUCCCCUUCUCACCU